UGUAUGGCCAACACUGGAAACUUUUGAAUUAUAGUUGCGUUUACAAGCAAAAUGGUAUUCCAUGAAAUACAUGUUGGAAGAAGAGGAGACAUACCAAUAUACAUUUUCAUA